rnacentral:rRNA from 1 species
UUAAAAAGCUCGUAGUUGGAUCUCGGCGGUCUGAGGGCGGUUCGCUUGAUUGAGUGCUACUGCUCUAUAGGCCGUGGUUUUGCCAGAGGUCUCGGGGUGCUCUUAACCGAGUGUCCUGCGAUGCUGGCAGGUUUACUUUGAAAAAAUUAGAGUGCUCAAAGCAGGCUUUUACGCCUGAAUAUUCGUGCAUGGAAUAAUAGAAUAGGAAGUCGUUUCUAUUUUGUUGGUUUUCGGAAAUCGACUUAAUGAUUAAU